GGCCUCGUAGCUCAGCUGGUAGAGGAUGCGAGUACAAACCGUAGUUGCCCUCUAUGCGUGGGUUCGAACCCACCGAGGCUA
rnacentral:tRNA from 1 species